AAUACAUACCAGCCAUGUUUAUUUUGUGUUUCAAAAGCACAUAGAAAUAAAUUACUUGAAUAAUUUAAGUAACUUAAAAAAGAAGUCCUAGUAUAAUGGGAACGGAUGCAACUGCUGUUAUAGAUAAUUCAAUACAUAGCUGUGAGAAACAAUAAACCAUUACUUCUGAAAAAAAACAAUUCUGAGCGGAGUUCAAUUGAUAGUGAUGCUUUGUCAACAAUAUAUACGUUAUUUUAUAGUAAACUAAUUAAAUAGGCC